GACGAACGCUGGCGGCGUGCUUAACACAUGCAAGUCGAACGGAAAGGCCCUGCUUUUGUGGGGUGCUCGAGUGGCGAACGGGUGAGUAACACGUGAGUAACCUGCCCUUGACUUUGGGAUAACUUCAGGAAACUGGGGCUAAUACCGGAUAGGAGCUCCUGCUGCAUGGUGGGGGUUGGAAAGUUUCGGCGGUUGGGGAUGGACUCGCGGCUUAUCAGCUUGUUGGUGGGGUAGUGGCUUACCAAGGCUUUGACGGGUAGCCGGCCUGAGAGGGUGACCGGCCACAUUGGGACUGAGAUACGGCCCAGACUCCUACGGGAGGCAGCAGUGGGGAAUAUUGCACAAUGGGCGGAAGCCUGAUGCAGCAACGCCGCGUACGGGAUGGCGGCCUUCGGGUUGUAAACCGCUUUCGCCUGUGACGAAGCGUGAGUGACGGUAAUGGGUAAAGAAGCACCGGCUAACUACGUG
rnacentral:rRNA from 1 species